rnacentral:rRNA from 1 species
AGCGGCGGACGGGUGAGUAACACGUGGGUAACCUGCCCAAGAGACUGGGAUAACACCUGGAAACAGAUGCUAAUACCGGAUAACAACACUAGACGCAUGUCUAGAGUUUGAAAGAUGGUUCUGCUAUCACUCUUGGAUGGACCUGCGGUGCAUUAGCUAGUUGGUAAGGUAACGGCUUACCAAGGCAAUGAUGCAUAGCCGAGUUGAGAGACUGAUCGGCCACAUUGGGACUGAGACACGGCCCAAACUCCUACGGGAGGCAGCAGUAGGGAAUCUUCCACAAUGGACGAAAGUCUGAUGGAGCAACGCCGCGUGAGUGAAGAAGGGUUUCGGCUCGUAAAGCUCUGUUGGUAGUGAAGAAAGAUAGAGGUAGUAACUGGCCUUUAUUUGACGGUAAUUACUUAGAAAGUCACGGCUAACUACGUGCCAGCAGCCGCGGUAAUACGUAGGUGGCAAGCGUUGUCCGGAUUUAUUGGGCGUAAAGCGAGUGCAGGCGGUUCAAUAAGUCUGAUGUGAAAGCCUUCGGCUCAACCGGAGAAUUGCAUCAGAAACUGUUGAACUUGAGUGCAGAAGAGGAGAGUGAAACUCCAUGUGUAGCGGUGGAAUGCGUAGAUAUAUGGAAGAACACCAGUGGCGAAGGCGGCUCUCUGGUCUGCAACUGACGCUGAGGCUCGAAAGCAUGGGUAGCGAACAGGAUUAGAUACCCUGGUAGUCCAUGCCGUAAACGAUGAGUGCUAAGUGU